UAAAAACUGUCGUUUAAUGUGUGGGUUCAUUAAAUCAAUAAGAUUAGAUAUCCUUAUUGUCCUAAUUGUGUUCUGGAUGUGUGACAGCUGCAGCACAUGGAUCAUUUUCCUCUGCCUGCUCAGACUUUCUUAUACCUUCAUUGGUCGUGGGAACCCUACUUGUGUUGGGCCUCUCAGCGCAUCUCUUCUGGUCCUGGACUCUGAAACGGCCACUUACCAAUUCAGCAAACACUAAAGAUUAUGAAGUAAAGCAGUCAAAAAGAAGAAGAACUGAUUCUCAGCAGGAUAUUGUUUAUUCUUAUCUGGAUGUUCAAGCACUUUCUCGUGGCAGAAGAUAAAUCCACCAACAGACCACAUGGAGUACAAAUAUCAGUACAAUAAUUCUGCUCCAACAGAUGUCAAUACAGUGUUUCACAGGCCUCAACGAAGAUCAAAAAUCUUUCAUAGUAACAUAGUAAUUUAUGCAGAAAAAGACACGUGUUCAUCAUGCGGGGGGGCGGGCCCUGGCCCAGUUGCACCCCCUGCUCCCCCGGUAGUAACGCCCCUGUGUUCAUCAACUUUAACCUUCUUUCUAAAUGAAACCUGCUCAUAUUUGAUCCAGAGGAAAGUGAAAAA